UGCAGUCGUGGGGCAGCGCGGGUAGCAAUACCUGGCGGCGACCGGCAAACGGGUGCAGGAACACGUACGCAACCUUCCUUUAAGUGGGGGAUAGCCCAGGGAAACUUGGAUUAAUACCCCGUAAUAUUAUGGAGUGGCAUCACUUUAUAAUUAUAGCUACGGCGCUUAAAGAUGGGCGUGCGGCUGAUUAGGUAGUUGGCGGGGUAAUGGCCCACCAAGCCUACGAUCAGUAACUGGUGUGAGAGCACGACCAGUCACACGGGCACUGAGACACGGGCCCGACUCCUACGGGAGGCAGCAGUAAGGAAUAUUGGUCAAUGGACGCAAGUCUGAACCAGCCAUGCCGCGUGGAGGAUGAAGGCCCUCUGGGUUGUAAACUUCUUUUAUCUGGGAAGAAACCCAUCUUUUCUAAGGUGGUUGACGGUACCAGUUGAAUAAGCACCGGCUAACUCCGUGCCAGCAGCCGCGGUAAUACGGAGGGUGCAAGCGUUAUCCGGAUUCACUGGGUUUAAAGGGUGCGUAGGUGGGCAGGUAAGUCAGUGGUGAAAUCUCCGGGCUUAACCCGGAAACUGCCGUUGAUACUAUCUGUCUUGAAUGUAGUGGAGGUGAGCGGAAUAUGUCAUGUAGCGGUGAAAUGCUUAGAUAUGACAUAGAACACCCAUUGCGAAGGCAGCUCGCUACACUAUUAUUGACACUGAGGCACGAAAGCGUGGGGAUCAAACAGGAUUAGAUACCCUGGUAGUCCACGCCCUAAACGAUGGAUACUCGACAUCAGCGAUACACUGUUGGUGUCUGAGCGAAAGCAUUAAGUAUCCCACCUGGGAAGUACGACCGCAAGGUUGAAACUCAAAGGAAUUGACGGGGGUCCGCACAAGCGGUG
rnacentral:rRNA from 1 species